rnacentral:lncRNA from 1 species
ACCAGUAGUUGCCUGAAAACCUGCCCAGAGUGGACCCUUAUCAGAGCCAUGGCAGGAUCAAAAGACCAUGUCGGUGAGUUCCUGGAGGAGUUCAGGGAGCAAAUCAUCUCUCGGGUGCAGCAUGUUGGGCCGAUAGCAAAUGCUGUGAUUUCACAGCAGCUGGUCCAGGAGGAGGCAGCAUGGGAUGUGCAGACUGCUCCAACCCCCCAGGAGGCCCUAAAGAGACUGUUUAAGGCUUUGGAGACAGCACCCCCACAAAGCAGAGAGUCCUUUCUCAUGAUACUGAAGCUAUAUGAACCCAAACUCAUGGAGGAAUUGGAAAAUAGACACCAGAACAGCAAGAGCACUCAAACAGAUGUAACCCAGAGGUCUGUGGAGAAGAAAGAGGAGGGUGGAGCACGGCAAGAAGGUGACACCCAGUCUAAGAGAGAAUCCCUGAAACGCAGGAGACAGGAGACUAUGCAAGCCAUUGAGAAAAUAGAGAGACUCUGGGAAGGGACGAAAAGAGAGCAAGGAGACGUGGCCAGCAUGACAGAGAAGAUCCAGAAGCAUCAGGGAGAAAUUACUCAGCUUAUGGAGGAGAAACGGCAACACGAGAGAACUAUCGAGCAGCUGAGAGCUCAGCUACAACAAGCCAGAGAGAGAAUGGCACAGAGUGGGCAGGAUGCAGAUAGAGAGAGAGGGAGAAUUGAGCAGAUGAGGACUGACAUCCAGACAGAGAGAGAGAUGCUGGAGCACAGGCGUGAGGAGAUCUUUCAGGAGAGGCAGCAGCUGGAGCUGAUAAGAUAUGAGACACUUAGAGCAAAGGAAGAGACAGAGAGGAACCAACAGAUCACUAGACUGGAGAAAGAGAAGAUGGAGCAGAUGAAGAGCGACAUCCAAGGACAGAUUUACGAAAUAGAAAAGCAAAUUGAAGAGACAAAACAAGCAAAAGAAAGCAUGGAACGGAUGAAGGCUGAAGUACAAAGUGAGAGAGAUGAUCUAGGGAAAAGGAGGGAUGACAUACAGAAACAAAAAGAACAAUUUGAACAGAUCAAAAAUGAAAUAAACACAGUUAAGGAACAGAUGGAGAGUCGAUGGCAUGAGGCAGAGAAAGACAAACAGGAACAGCGAGUGCUCAUUCAACAGGAGAAAGAUGAACUACUGAACUUGCAGGCUGAGUUGCAAAUAGCAAAAGAGGAGUUUGAGAAGAACAAAGAGGAAACCAAUCUAGAGAGAGAGAGACUACACCAUCUGAAAACAGACUUACAUCUGGAAAAGGAUGUAAUUGAGAAAAGAAAAUCUGAGGUCUCCAGAAAAGAGAAGGAUUUGGAGAAGAUAAGAUGGAAAUUAGGAACAGCACAAGAAGAGCUAGAGAAAGAAAAGGAAGAAGUGAGUAAGGAGAGAGAGAAGCUAGACUGGACCAGAGCCGGCAUCCAGAAGAAAACAAAGACCAUAGAAAGGAGGAUAGAGGAGAAAAGGCAAGCAAGCAGAAAGCUGGAGCAGGUGAAGGCUGAGGUCCAGAGGGCCAAUAACACUCUGGAGAAACAGCGGGAUGAUGCCCUUAAGGCAAAAGAGGAGAUGGAGAAACGAAAGUAUGACACAAUGAAAGAGGAGAUUGAACAGCGAGCUGGGAUACAGAGAGAGAGAGAUGAAGUGGAGAGGAUGAAGGCAGAGUUACAGAAGGUAGGUGAGGUGGGCAGGAUAAAAGAGGAGAAGGAAAGACUACAGAUGAAACAGCAGAGUGAAGAAAUGCAACGGGAGAAGGAGACAACAGAGAGAAUGAAAGCUGAGAUAGAAACAGAAAAAGAAAACAUCACGAGAAGGAACACUGAGAUUCUGAGAGAGAGACAAGAGCUGGAGGCUAUGAGGUAUGAUAUACUGAAGGACAGGGAGGAGACAGAGCAGAGCCGGGAGAUUAUUAAAAGAGAAAAAGAACGAAUGGAGAAAAUGAAAGCUCACAUACAGCAUCAGAUUGAUGACAUAGAGCAUAAAAUUGAAGAAACAAAACAAACGAAAGACCAAAUGGACCUCAUGAAAGCAGAGAUCCAGAGAGAAAAGGACGAACUGGAAAGCCAAAGGGAGAAGAACAGGGUGGAAAAAGAACAUUAUGAGUCAAUACAGUCUGAAAUCGUGCAGCUAAAGAAUGAAAUGGAGAGAAAAUGGUCUGAGACAGAGCAGGAAGAAGUGGAACAGAGAACAAGGAUCCAACAAGAACAAGAAAAUCUGGAACAACUGAAGGAGGAGAUUCAAAAGGCAAAAGCAGAUGUUGAAAUGAACAGAGAAGAAAUAAGACAAGAAAAGGAGUUGAUUGAACAAAUAAAAGCUUUAUUAAAAGGGGAGAAAGAAUCUAUUAAGAAAAAAGAAGAUGAGGUCAAGAGAAAGGAAGAAGGGUUCAAGCAAGAAUUUGAAGCAGAGAAAGAAGAUAUCCAAAGCAGAGAGACCAAUGUACAAAAAGAGUGGAAUGAAAUCAGCCAAAUGAAAGAAAAACUAAAACAACAGAUUAAGGAGCUUGAGAAAAAGGUUACUGACGCAUCAAGGGCCCAUAGAGAGGCAGAAGAGAUAAAAGAAGCAAUACAUGAGACUGAGCGCACCAUGGAACAACAGAGAAUGGAGACUAUUAAAGGAAGAGAGGAGAUGGAGAAAAGGAGAUAUGAGAUGGUGAUGGAGGACUUGGAGAAACGGGCAGAGCUGCAAAAAGAGAGAGAGGAACUGGAAAACAUGAGGACUGAAGUACUGAGAUUACAACAGGACCAGGAGAGAGUGACAGAUGCUAAUGAACGAGAGAUCUUACAGAACAUGGUGCAAGAAAACAAUCAGGAGAAAGAAAUGAUGAUACAGUUGAGAGCUGCGAUGCAGAGGGACAGAGAUGAUCUAGAUAGGGUAAAGAGGGAGUCAGAGAGAGAACGAGAGGAGUUGGAGCAGGUACGUGAGGAGACCCGGAGACUCAAGGAGGAGCUGGAUAAGAGUAGGCAUGACUGCAAGAGAGAAGAAGUACAACAGAGGACACAACAGCAGAAAGAGAGAGAGGAGAUAGAAAGAGUCAAAAAUACAAUGGUGAGAGAGAGACAAAUGAUUGAGCAUGCAAGAGAGGCAGUAGCACUAGAGAUGGAACAAAAAAGGACAGAACUGGAGAAACAGACAGAGGAUGUGAACAGAAGGAUGAGAGAAACAAGGCAGGAAGAGGAAAGAAUGCAGCAGAUGAGAGCUGAACUUGAGAGUCAAAGAGAGAAGCUGGAAAGAAUGAGAGAGAAGACGCAUAAAGCGAAAGAGCCAUAUGAGCAGGUAAAAAAAGAGAUAGACAGAGUCAAAGCAGAGAUUGAGAGAAUGUGGGAUGAGUCUGAGAGAGAGGAAAGGGAAGAGAGAGAGAAGUUACAGGUAGAGAGAGAGGAGGUGAACAAAAGAGUGAAAGAGAUAAAGAGCCAAAUGCACCAGAUCCAGGAGAUGAAGGAUUACUUAAAGGUGCAGAACGAGGAGACUGAAGCCAACAUGGAGAGAAUCCAAAAAGAGAUGGAGCAACUGGAGAGGAUGAAAGCUGACAUACAGAGACAGAAAGAGGAGGUGGAUAGUAAAAUGACAGAGACAAAAAUGGAGAAGCAGGAACUUGAGAAGAUGCGCUCAGACAUCCUGAAACAGAAAGAUGAAGUGGAGAUUAAGAUGCAACAAGCCCAAAUGGAGAUGGAGAAAAUGAGGAGACAGCGGGAUGAGAUCCAGAGGCAGAGAGAGGAGCUGGAGGAGCGGAUGCAGAAGACUAGACGAGAUAUGGCAGAAAUGGAGUACAUGAGAGCUGAGAUGGAGAGAAAGAGGAAGGAGCUAGAGCAGAGACUGAGGAAGACUAGGAGAAAGAAAGAGGAGAUGGAACAGAUAAAAGUGGAGAUAGAGAAAGCGAAGGAUGAGUUUCAGUUAAAAAAGGAAGAGACAGAAAAAGAGAAACGAGAGAUGGAGGGGUUCAUAGCUGAACUGCAAAGGGCCAGAGAGGAAUUUGACAACAAGGCAGAGUUGAGUGAUAAAGACCAAGAGGAACAGGAUGAAAUAAACACAGAAAUCCUAAGACUGAUUCAGGAGAUGGAGAGAACCAGAGAAAUGGUGCGGAGAACAAAAAUGGACAUGCAGAGCAGAAUGGAAGUGUGUCAUAUGGACAUCACUGACAGAGAGCUUAUGAACACUGAGCUACAAAGACUUAUUCAAGAGAUAGAGCACAUCCGAGAACUGCUGAAAAAAAUGAAACUAGAAAUUGAACAAAGUAAAUAUGACACUAAGACAGGGAGGGAUGAGCUGAGAAUGAUUAAGCUAGAGAUACAAAGAAAGAGAAGAGACCUGGACCAGAGGCUUGAGAGGACCUUGAGAGAGAGAGACGACCUAGACAUUUUGAAAUUGAAGAUAGUACAACAGCGAGAUGAGGUGGAAGAACGGCUGAGGGACUGUGAGAUUGAGACAGAGAAGGUAGAGGCCAGGAGAGAGGACAUGGUACGAGACUCAGAAGCUAUACGAUAUGCCCAAGAAGAGAUUGAGAAAGUAAAAGCAAAGCUGCAGCUGGACUUAGAUGACCUAAACAAAGAAAAGGAAAUUGUGGGGGAAAUGAAGGCUGAGAUUAUGCAACUCAGACGAGGAACUGAACAGGACAUGACAGAUGAGUCAGGCAUGGACGACUCUGGGAUGGGAGAUGAGCUGGACAAACAUGAGGUCUCAAUCAGUAUGUCUGAGAUAGAGGAACAGCGCAAAGACAUAGAGCUACAGAAAGAAAUACUUCAAAGACAAAGAUGUGAAUUAGAGGAAAGAAACGUUGAAAUAGACAGAGAAAAAGACAAGAUACUGAGCAUGAAGGACAAGAUCAAGGAUGAAGAAAUCAGGAUGGAAACAAUCACGGAACAGCUCAAAAAAGAGAGGGAAACAAUUGACAGUAUGAAUAUCAACUCUUUCAGAAUGAAAAAAGAGCUUGAACUGAUGCAUGCUGAGAUACAAAGAAAACAGGAAGACAUUCAACACAGCCAAGCUCUACUUCAUAAAGACAAUAAAGUUCUGAGGGAAAAUAAACUAGAACUACAAAAAGAAAAAGAAGAAAGUGAGAGAGAUGCCAAAAAGAUAAAAGAAGAUCUAGAUAUACUUAAGAUUGAGAUAAAGAGACAAAGAGAAGAAAUUCAAAAUGACAGGGAAAAGCUUGAAAAACAGAAGAGUGAACUACUGAAUGAAAAUGUAGAGAUACAAAAUAAAACUACAAAUGUUGAAAACCUUGCAAAUGAGGUAAAGAGAGAAAAGAAGGCAAUAGAGGAAAAAGCAAAACAACUUAAAAAACAAAAGGAAGAGUUUGAUGAAGAAAUGAAAAAACAGACUAAAGAAUUUGAAGACAGCAAAAAUGAACUUGAACAGAAAUGGAAAGAUUUGGAAAAUGUAAAAGAAUUUUUGCAAGCUGAAAUACAGCAACAAAGACGGGAGGCUCAGAAACUCUUGGAGGAUGCAAUAAAAGCAGACAAACAAAAGACUGAACAAAUUCAGAAAGAAAUGGAGGAACUAAAAAACAAAAUGGCAGACAUGGAAAAAAAUAUGGGUGAUGUCCAGAGAGAGAAAAUGGAGGUUAAGACCAAACAUAAUGAAAUUGAGGUGAGAAUGGAAAAAGUGAAAAUGGAUAUACAGACACUGGAGGAAAAAGAAAGCAACAUAAAAAGACAGAAAGAGGAGAUAGAGAGAAGAAUGGCUGCGACAAAGAAGGAAAGACAACAUGUAGAGAAACUGAAAAAUGACUUGUCAGGACAAAGAGAAGAAACAGAAGCAAAAUUAAAACUCUUGAAAAGUGAAAUGGAAAAACUGAGGAGCAUCAAAAACAACAUCCAGAAAGAGAGAGAAGAAGCAGAUGGCAAGUUACAGAAAAUUAAGCGAGAGAUAGGACAGAUGGAACUUUAUAAAGCUGAGCUGGAGGCCAAGAAAAAAGAACUGGAACACACCAUCAGAAGAAACACCAGGAAACUAAAUGAGAUGGAACAAUCCAAGACGAAAAUACAAAAGGCUAAAGAAGAGCUGGACACAGUUAUGGAAAGGAUACAACGAGGAAAGGAAGAACUAAAAGAGAUGAAAUCUAUUUUAGAAAGUCAGUUUGAGAGUGAUAGAAACGAGCUUCAAAGAGUGGAGAGGGAGCUUCAUCAGACAAUCAAAUCAUUUGAAAUUGAGUGUGACAAACUGAGAGAAAACAGAAAUGCACUUAAAUUGCAAAUUCAAACUCUAGAGGAAACAAGAGAAGAUAUAGAGAAGGAAAGAGGUAAAAUGGCAGAUGAGUUUCAGGAACAGAGAGAUAUCCUUAACACAGAGAGGCAAAUGCUGGACAAAACCAAAGAAGAGAUACAAAAACAAAGAGAUGAAAUAGAUCUGAGAAGACUGGAGACAGAGCAACUUCAGGCAGAGGUAGAAACGUUGAAAAAAGAAGGGGAAGAUGCUCUCCAUGAAAGAAUUAGGGAAGCCUCUGUUGAGAGUAAACAACUUGCCAAAGCAAAGGAAGAACUCAACACAAAACUGGAAGAAAUGAAGAGAGAAAUGGACACUCUUCAGAGCCUGAAGGAUGAGUUGAAAAGGGAAAGAGAAGAAAUUGACGACAAAAUGGAAAACACAAAGAUGGAGAUUGAACAACUGGAGAGAUUGAAGUCAGAUAUUCAAAGACAGAAAGAAGAGUUUGAAAAGACAAUGGCAGAGAAGGAAGAACUGGAGAAGGUCAAAUCUGACAUCUGGAAACAAAAAGAGGACACUGAGACAAAGCUGGUGAUGCUGAAGGAAGAGAUGAAGGAAAUGGCAACUAUGAGGGAAGACAUACAGAAGCAGAAGGAGGAACUAGACGACAAGAUGCAGAAGAUGAAACGGGAGAUGGAAGAGAUGGAACUCACUAAAGUGAGCUGGAGGCCAAGAGAAAAGAGCUGGAACACACCAUCAGAAGAAACACCAGGAAACUUAAUGAGAUGGAACAAUCAAAGACUGACAUACAACAGGCUAAAGAGGAGAUGGAUAAAGCAAUGCAGAAAAUUGCUCUCGAGAAGGAAGAACUCAAUGAAAUGAAAGCAAUUUUACAGAGCCAGAUUGAGAAUGAUAGAACGAGCUACAAAGGGUGAGAAGGAGCUUCAUCAGAGAAUCAACUCAUUUGAAAUUGAGCAACAAAGAGAAACCGAAGAUGCACUUCAAAUCCAAACACAAAUUCUGGACAAAGCUAGUCAAGAUAUAGAGAAGGAAAGAGGUAAAAUGGCAGAUGAGUUUUCAGGAACAGAAGAUAUCCUUAAGACAGAGGAGGCAAAUCUGGAC